AGUGAACGCUGGCGGCAGGCCUAACACAUGCAAGUCGAGCGGCAGCGCGGGGGCAACCCUGGCGGCGAGCGGCGGACGGGUGAGGAAUUCGUCGGAAUCUGCCUCUUUGUGGGGGAUAACGUAGGGAAACUUACGCUAAUACCGCAUACGUCCUACGGGAGAAAGUGGGGGACCGCAAGGCCUCACGCAGAAAGAUGAGCCGACGACCGAUUAGCUAGUUGGUGGGGUAAAGGCCCACCAAGGCGACGAUCGGUAGCUGGUCUGAGAGGAUGAUCAGCCACACUGGGACUGAGAACCGGCCCAGACUCCUACGGGAGGCAGCAGUGGGGAAUAUUGGACAAUGGGCGCAAGCCUGAUCCAGCCAUGCCGCGUGGGUGAAGAAGGCCUUCGGGUUGUAAAGCACUUUUGUCCGGAAAGAAAUCCCUGGAGCUAAUACCUUCGGGGGAUGACGGUACCGGAAGAAUAAGCACCGGCUAACUUCGU
rnacentral:rRNA from 1 species